rnacentral:rRNA from 1 species
UACGGGGGGGGCAAGCGUUGUUCGGAAUUACUGGGCGUAAAGGGCUCGUAGGCGGCCAACUAAGUCAGACGUGAAAUCCCUCGGCUUAACCGGGGAACUGCGUCUGAUACUGGAUGGCUUGAGAUUGGGAGAGGGAUGCGGAAUUCCAGGUGUAGCGGUGAAAUGCGUAGAUAUCUGGAGGAACACCGGUGGCGAAGGCGACACCCUGGACCGGUAUUGACGCUGAGGCGCGAAAGCCAGGGGAGCAAACGGG